rnacentral:rRNA from 2 species
AACUGAAGAGUUUGAUCAUGGCUCAGAUUGAACGCUGGCGGCAGGCUUAACACAUGCAAGUCGAGCGGGGGAAGGUAGCUUGCUACUGGACCUAGCGGCGGACGGGUGAGUAAUGCUUAGGAAUCUGCCUAUUAGUGGGGGACAACAUCUCGAAAGGGAUGCUAAUACCGCAUACGUCCUACGGGAGAAAGCAGGGGAUCUUCGGACCUUGCGCUAAUAGAUGAGCCUAAGUCGGAUUAGCUAGUUGGUGGGGUAAAGGCCUACCAAGGCGACGAUCUGUAGCGGGUCUGAGAGGAUGAUCC